UCUCCCCUCUCCUUCCCGCUCGCUGCUCUGAAGCUGGGCCGCCAUUCGAUGCCUGACGGCUUCUCCUACCAACGCACACUAUUUCCAGGGGCUCUGGGGAACUGGAGUUAAGUCCCAAGGAAAAGAAAAGCAAUUGCAAAAUGGGAAUGGAAACCUUGGUCUGUCUGGUGUUUGUUUCAGCACUGUCAGGCAGAAAAAGAAAGCGAGAAGUCUACAUAUGAUGCUGUAGGCUUCCUGGUCUUACUGCUGCCAAUCUACAAAAUUCAGGUUGCUGGCCCAGUGAUGAUGAUCUUCUCACUACUGUCACAGUUGCCCUGAGAAGCUCCCGCAGGAGAAGCCAGAUAAUGUGUGAAAAAGAAUGGAGCAGGCUGGAACUGGAAGGGAAGUUGAAAAGGACCCAUGCAUCUGUGGACGAGGGGAUCACAGCCUGUGGCAGAGCUCCUCAGCCUCCCUCGCUCUUGGAUGUGUUCAUCAUACUGAACCCACAGUCCCAUGUAGGGUGCAGAGUAAUGCUCACUGCAUGUGUACCAAUGAAGUUAUAGAUGUCAAGAAGGCUUCUCUGGUGAUCUGGACUUGGCCGACCCUGGUUGCCAUCACAAGACCUGCUCUGCUCUUCAUUAUUAGGUGCUGUACCCUAAGCUUCUUCCUGAAACAGACUGUCCUGUUUGUCCAGCUGUCAAAUUUACUGAUCCAACAAAAGCAAAGGAGUCUCGAGCAAUGCGGAAGAGGCAGAAUGGGUGAGGCAAGACCAACUGUUGGGACUCUGCUCUCUAUUUUCUCAUUACACCUCUGCUGCCCAUGCAUAAUGCCUUUAUUAUUUUCCCCAAAAUAAGAAGAGUCCUCAAAGAACAGAAUAAACCUCUGGCUGCAGUAGGAA